rnacentral:snRNA from 1 species
AACCAAAACAAUUUUGCUAUGU